rnacentral:rRNA from 1 species
UACGUAGGUGGCAAGCGUUGUCCGGAUUUAUUGGGGUUAAAGGGUGCGUAGGCGGCUUUGUAAGUCAGUGGUGAAAUACGGUAGCUUAACUAUCGAGGUGCCAUUGAUACUGCAGAGCUUGAGUACAGAUGAGGUAGGCGGAAUUGACGGUGUAGCGGUGAAAUGCUUAGAUAUCGUCAAGAACACCUAUAGCGAAGGCAGCUUACUAGGAUGUAACUGACGCUGAGGCACGAAAGUGUGGGGAUCAAACAGG